UCGGGAAUUUUGGGCAAUGGGCGAAAGCCUGACCCAGCAACGCCGCGUGAAGGAUGAAGUAUUUCGGUAUGUAAACUUCGUAAGAAUAGGAAGAAUAAAUGACGGUACUAUUUGUAAGGUCCGGCUAACUACGUGCCAGCAGCCGCGGUAAUACGUAGGGACCAAGCGUUGUUCGGAUUUACUGGGCGUAAAGGGCGCGUAGGCGGUGUGUCAAGUCAGUUGUGAAAUCUCCGAGCUUAACUCGGAACGGUCAACUGAUACUGUCACACUAGAGUACAGAAGGGGCAAUCGGAAUUCUUGGUGUAGCGGUGAAAUGCGUAGAUAUCAAGAGGAACACCUGAGGCGAAGGCGGGUUGCUGGACUGAUACUGACGCUGAGGCGCGAAAGCCAGGGGAGCAAACGGGGAUUAGAUACCCUCGUAGUCCCUGAGCGGGCUGGCAAGGCGCAU
rnacentral:rRNA from 1 species